GGAUUCCUGGCAGAGUGAUUUG
rnacentral:miRNA from 1 species